rnacentral:rRNA from 1 species
AUAUCAAUAAGCGGAGGAAAAGAAACCAACAGGGAUUGCCCUAGUAACGGCGAGUGAAGCGGCAACAGCUCAAAUUUGAAAUCUGGCCCUAGGCCCGAGUUGUAAUUUGCAGAGGAUGCUUUUGGCAAAGCGCUUACCGAGUCCCCUGGAACGGGGCGCCACAGAGGGUGAGAGCCCCGUAUGGUAUGACGCCGAGCCUCUGUAAAGCUCCUUCGACGAGUCGAGUAGUUUGGGAAUGCUGCUCUAAAUGGGAGGUAAAUUUCUUCUAAAGCUAAAUACCGGCCAGAGACCGAUAGCGCACAAGUAGAGUGAUCGAAAGAUGAAAAGCACUUUGAAAAGAGGGUUAAAUAGCACGUGAAAUUGUUGAAAGGGAAGCGCUCGUGACCAGACUUGCGCCGGGCGGAUCAUCCAGCGUUCUCGCUGGUGCACUCCGCCCGGCUCAGGCCAGCAUCGGUUUUCGCCGGGGGACAAAAGCUUCGGGAACGUGGCUCCCUUCGGGGAGUGUUAUAGCCCGUUGCUUAAUACCCCGGCGGGGACCGAGGACCGCGCUUCGGCAAGGAUGCUGGCGUAAUGGUCAUCAGCGACCCGUCUUGAAACACGGACCGAGGAGUCAAGCAUUAGUGCGAGUGUUUGGGUGUAAAACCCGCACGCGUAAUGAAAGUGAACGUAGGUGAGAGCUUCGGCGCAUCAUCGACCGAUCCUGAUGUUUUCGGAUGGAUUUGAGUAGGAGCAUUAACGCUUGGACCCGAAAGAUGGUGAACUAUACUUGAAUAGGGUGAAGCCAGAGGAAACUCUGGUGGAGGCUCGCAGCGGUUCUGACGUGCAAAUCGAUCGUCAAAUU